rnacentral:ribozyme from 1 species
GAUCCUUUCCACCACAUAUGGUUCCGCUUCUUCAAGGUCCAAUGUACCUUAGAAACGAAGCGCUUUCGACGGAUACAAUACAGCGGGACUGCCAUGAGAUAGC